CAGGGACGUUUAAUAUUUGUUUGUGGUGAAAACACUUAAAAAAUCUUUUUGUCUGUUUUUUGGAGAAAUAUACAGUCUAUGUAUAGUAGUUACCGUACUGUGCAAUGAACACAGAGCUUCUUGCUCUUAUCGAACUGUAGCUUGUUAUCCAUUAGUCAGUCCUUAUUUUCUCCUUUCCAGUACUCUCCCGGUGUCUGGCCAUCACCAUGGGGCUCUCGACUUCUAAGAGACCAACUUGUUGAGGUGCGGCUUAUGGGUGAGAUCCUGCAGUACUUGUCUUUCGGUGCCUGGCUCACUUCACUGUACACAGCGGCCUCCAGUUCCAGCCGUGUUGUUGUAAAUAACAAGGUUGCAUUCUUUUUUUUUUUUAAGAUUUAUUUUAUUUAUUUGAAAGACAGAGUUACAGAGAGAGGUAGAGACAGAGAGAGAGGUCUUCCAUCCACUGGUUCACUCCCCAACUGGCCGCAACAGCAGGAGCAGCGCUGAUCCGAAGCCGGGAGCCAGGAGCUUCCUCCAGGUCUCCCACAUGAGUGCAGGGGCCCAAGGACUUGUGCUAUCUUGUACUGCUUUCCCAGGCCAUGGCAGAGAGCUGGAUUGGAAGAGGAGCCGCCUGGACUAGAACCGGCGCCCAUAGGGGAUGCCGGCGCUUCAGGCCAGGGCUUUAACCCUUUGUACCACAGUGCUGGCCAAAGGUUGUAUUCUUUUUUAUUGCCCAAUAGUAAUCCAUUGUUGACAUGUACUGUAUAUUCUCUCUCUUUCUUUCUUCUUCCUUCCUUCCUUCCUUCCUUCCUUCCUUCCUUCCUUCCUUCCUUCCUUCCUUCUUUCCUCUUAUUUGAAAGGCAGAAUCACAGAAAGAGAAAGAGAGAGAUCUAUUUAAAUGCAUUCCCACAAGUUUGAGCUGUGUUCAUCCUGGUGUCCGAGUUCACUGCUUUCUAGCACUUGGAACAGUUGAACAUACAAACCCUAUCCUAGCCCACUGCCUGCCAGCACUUGUUAGCACUUUCCUCUCCAGCUCUCCAUUCUUUCUCGAAUGCAGCAGAUAAAACACGAAAAAUGAUAUAUUUAUAGUGUUUGGCUCACAGGCCUGGGCACAAAGCAAGCUCUUUUUUUUUUUUUUUUCAAUUCAUGUUAUUUAUUUGAAAGGCAGGCUGACAGAGAGAAAGGGAGAGGUGGAGAUGUCCCCUGUGCUGCUGGGGCAGCCGGGACUGGAACUGGUGUUGUGCUAUGGCAUGCCAGCAUUGCAGCAGGUGGUCUAACUCACUGCCCCACAACGCCGGCCCCACAAAACGAGUUCUUAAUACAUGUGAAUUAUUUAAAUAUGAUCGUUAUCCAAAAGGACCGGUAAAGUCAGAGCACCCCAGGUACUCACAGGUGGGGACGGCCAAGGAGCAAGAAUUCACAGCUUGCUCACCCAUCGUCUCACACAAAAUCCUACAUGGCUUCUAACCAAGGGCGAGGCUGCCAGGCCCAGCCUCUUCCUCGGAAUCCCAUUGUCCUUACAAGCUGCGCUCCGUGUCUCGGGGGUGAGGUGGAAACAAGAAGGCCCACCGCCAGGAAGGAGUGUGUGAUCCUCUAUGUCAUUGACUUAACUGGAUUCACUCAGGGGCGAAGGAAGCUGGGUUUCGGUGGCAGGGGAGGGCGAGGCUCCUGGUUCCGGGCUUGCUCUCAGGAAGAGUUCUGGGCUCUUCCUGUUUCAGUUUGGUCAUCUUUGUCCCGCACUCCAAUAUUUCCCUGACUUUCUUUUGAGCAUUGGCAAGAAAGCAGCCUACGGAGAUUCAACUGCCCCCAGCAUGUCUUGCACCGGAAGCCUUCAUUUUUAUGCACACGGGUUUUAGGGGUAAACGGGUGGCUCCCAGGUUGCUGCUCAGAGUUGCUCUCCUGUCUCCUGUACGUGAAGAGCGUGCCUCCCGACAGCCUUCUCCUGACACUGUCCACCCGCUCUCUGCCCACAUGCAGCAGAGUGCGGCGCUGUUUACCGGACGCCUUGCUGCCGAGUGCUGAUCUCAGGGUAUUUCGUUGUUGAAUCUAUGAUCAUCCCCAUGAGGGAGACACACUCUUCCACCCAUUUCAUGGAGGGCAAGAUUGAGGCACAGUGUUUAGCCAAUCACUCGCCUAAGAGCACACAGGAAAGACGUGGUGGAUUUGAACGCAGUCUGGCUGGAGAAUCUACAUGCUUAAGUACUCCAUCUCCUAUCUCUGAAGCCAGCGGGAGGAGGCUGCAGGUGGAGGUUUCUGGGGGCAAAGUAACACUGCCUUUAAUAUGCAUUUGGAAUCAUCACAGGUUCUGGAGCCGCAACGCACAGCAGCCUCUGUGCAGACAGAACAGCUCCCCAGCCUCUUUCCAAAACAUCUAUGCCACGGUAAGGUGUGUUGGGGUGCACGGUGACAGUGUUAACUGUCAGGAAAAGUGGGGAAGGUGGGGGCCUCUUAAGGCACACGUCACCAGCCUAGCCCUGCAAGGCUGGGGUGACUUGGACACCACCUUCCUGAACGCCACCAUCAUCUUCUGUGUCUCUCUGCCUGUGAUUUAUUGAUGACUCCAAAGAGUUUUAGAAUUGGCGUUCAGAUAAACCAAGAAAAGCAAGCUAGAAUCAUCUGCGCAUCUCUUCUCGCGUGCAAAGCCCUGAUGGCUAUUUUGGGAACCUCAGGAGAUGACUCGGCAAGUCAGAAGGAAAGGGAAUGGCACGCAGCCCGGAGGGUGCACUGUCACCACGCCUCCUGCCACUCAGCCCUUCACUUUAGAAAGCUGCAGCAGGGCACACGUGGGGCUUACAGGGUCUGGCCCUCAUCAGCUUUUGUCUGAACAGGUGCCUGUGGUGAAAUUCCUCCCUAGGAAAAAGCCUUUUUUCUGUAGGAGGCCACAUUCCAAGUGGCAGGUAGAGAGAGUUGCCGGUUUCCUAAGUUGGGAUGUUUGCCGGGGAAAAUAACUUUGUGAUGUGACACUUUGUGCUACGGUCUAAUGGAGUGUUUUUUUUCUCUCUCUCUCUCAUUAGAUAGAUCAUUAGAUCGCUAGAUUUCCUUUCAGAAUUCCUGCCAAAUAGAAAGAAAUGCUGUUUGUGUUUUCCCAAGCAGCGCAGAGCCCCACUUAGACUGGUUUCUUCCAAGUCCCUUUAAGCUGCUCUCUCAGAGUUUGCAGCCAAACAGGCUGACUCCGGAGAGCCACCAUAGCCGAGGGAAGAUGCCCCUCCGAGCACUUUUCUUGGCACACGUGGAGAGGAUUAUGCGUGUAUCCUUCCAUGGCUAACUCAGUCUCAGAAUAUUGCAGUGAGAUUUAAAGACUCAAGACCAGGGAAAUAACUUGCUCUGGCUUUUAAUCCGUUUAUAUUCUAAUUUCCUUUCAGCAGUCAAGGCAGGUCAAUGCAUUUUCAUUAGCAAUAAAGAAGACUAACCAACAAGGCAGUGACCAAUAUUUGACUUAGAUUUAAAAGUAAACUAGACUGUUGAAAGAAAGCCGAGAUGGAAAAUACAUGGUUUCAGGUUGAAUGCUUUAGACAGGGCACACAUUAAACUGCAAGAAUAAUAUGACGACCAUGUAAUCAAUUCUAGCAAAGCCUGCGCUAAUACAAUUAAGAUUAUAAAAAGUGGCUUAAUCAACCUGUAGCCACCCCCGUGUCUAUGUGGAAUUAACUCAAAUUGAGCUAAGGCUUUCUCAUGCUUGAAGACGGCAGGUGGCAGAGGCCUCCCUCUGUCAUGGAUUAGGGAGGAAUUUUCGUCAUCCCAGUUCCCCACCCAGGGUACCCCUCCUGUGGCUUACAUCCUGUUCUUCACCAGCAACAGCUUUGGUUCAGGGUCUGGCAAAUGGGUGUUCUCCACUCAGGCUUUAUUAAUUUAUUCUUUGAAAGACAGUCGCAAGUUCCUCUUACAAACAGGUUGAAUUUAAAAUUGGUUUUAGGCAAUUUGAAAAAAUUUUCCAGUCAAAGCUCUGUUGCUGGUUAGCCAGCCCCCUGCAUCCUUACUGAAGGCCUUAACCCUGCUUCCUGGGGUGUAAACAAAGGAGAAAGGGGAGGAUGAGAGAGGGCGGUGCCCUCCUGGGCUGGCCAGUCACUACAGGCCCAGGGAACGCGUGCCCCAUGGUAGCUUUAUUUAUUAUUUUUAAGAUUUAUUUUAUUUUUUCAGAAGACAGAGUUACAGAGAGAGGUAGGGACAGAGAGGUCUGCCAUUUUCUGGUGCCUUCCCAAAUGGCCACAAUGGCCAGGGCUGAGCUGAUCCAAUCUGAUUCAAAGCCAGGAGCCAGGAGCUCCUUCUAGGUCUCCCAUUUGGGUGCAAGGGCCCAAGCAGUUGGGCCAUCCUCUGCUGCUUUCCCAGGUGCAUUGGCAGGGAGCUGGAUUGGAAGUGGAGCAGCUGGGCCUCAAACUGGUGUCCUUAUGGGAUGCCGGUGCUGCAGGCUGGGCUUUAACCCGCUGUGCCACAGUGCUGCUGCCCUGCACCUCUACACCCUCCACCUCCAGCCAUGGGGGCUCUAGAACUCCUGCUCCUCCUUGCCUGCUCAUUUCCCAACUGAGUGCACGUGUGUGUGUGUGAGUGUGUGUGUGUGUGUGUGUGUGUGUGUGUGUAGCGGAGAGGGGUAAUUGCUGGGGAAAGCCAGGUAAAGUUAAGAAAGGUGGUUUUCCAAAUGUUGUAUCUGGGAUACGGAAUGUUAUACAAAAUCCUUGCAUAUCAUAUAGAUACUAGUGUGGUCAUUCUGAUUGGAUGGGAGGGGAGUGAGCGGAGAGCAGGCCUGCACGUUUGACCUCCUCCCCCCCUCCAGGGUACCCCCACUGAGCUGGAUGUGCUUGAUAACAGCUGUAUCCCUUCCCACACAGAACCUUAUGACUCCACGAAACGAGCUGGAUCAGGAUACCUGUCUAGCUUUUGUUCCAUAUAAUAUGCUACAUAUUAUAUUAGUGAAUAUUAUUGACAUGUCUGUCCAUUUAUUGCUACUCAGAAAUAGCCUAAGGCGAACUUCUUCAGAGUUCUGAGUGCUCGAAGGCCCAGAACCAGUCAUACAUUAGUGCAGCUAUUCACUUGGUGAACAUCUACUGCAUACGUACUCUGUGCCAGGCCCAUACUACUCAGGUGGGAUGCAAAGAUCCUCAAGGACUUCUGCCUACCGUGGUGAGACAGAGAGUAACCGUGUGGAGCAGUAAGAGCUAGAGCAGAGGAAGCACUCAUUCUACAGGUAGACCCAAGAGGCGUGAUUUUGAUCCAAGGAAGGCCUGCCACAGUGGGAUGAUGGAAGCUUGAAGAAUGAGGGUGAAGAAGCAUCUGUCAAGCAGGCAACACAGCCCUUACAGAGGCAGGCACCCCUACUGCUGCUGCUGCUGCUGGUGGUGGUGGUGAGGAACUCACCCACGGUGGGGGAGAUUUGCAAGUGGCUUGGUAAGAAGGAGGGAAAGGACAUGGGGAGUUAGAGAGUGGAUGGAUAAGAAUGCAGAGCCCAGAUCUUGAAGAUCCUCUUUUAAGAUGCUAUGAGGGUUGGAUUUUAUCCUAAAUGGCAUGGGAGUCUUUGAAGGAUCUUAAACAGGGACAGGUCCUCAGAGUGAGAGGUGCACUAGAGACAGGGCCAGGGCCAGGGCCUCAAGUUGAGGUAAUUUUGCUUAAAUUUGAAAAAAAGGAGACCCUCUAAAGGGACACAGCUUGGAGCCAGGACGAAAGCUCUGAAGGAUGCAGGUGGAUUGGAUUUGUCUCCCACCCAGCCAGGUGCCUUUUUGUGUAGUAUGCAAAUUCCACAGGGUGAGGCAGCACCUCUAGACAGAAGAAUAGUUUGAGAUACUUUUUCCAGAACAAUAUAACAGGGCUUUAAAAAAAUAAAGCUAUGCCCUAAAGGGGAGUUAGGAAAGAGAAAUAUGAAGUCUUGGUUAUGAGUUGAGAAAGAAGUAGUUGUAGAAAUGGGUGACACGCAGGUAUUGGACUUGUUUGGGUGGGCAGCAGUCUCAGUUCACAAGGAAAAAUCCAGAAGGAGGAUCAACUUUGCAGAAAAGUUAAUACUCUCUGGUUUGGAUGUGUUGGCUUUGUAGUGCCGUGGGAAUCUGGGUGGAAACAGCUAAUGCAUUGUCAAAUAUGUCGUUCGAAGUAUAGUUAAGACAUGUCAUGUCGACUACCAAUACACAUUUGGUUGUCAUUGCUACACGGCAGAGCUGAGGCCGUGGGAGUGAAGACCACCCAGGAUAAUGCUAGAGCGGAAAAGGUGAGCAUUUCUGGGGGAUUCUCUCAAAGGUUCUCAAAAAUUGAAAUCCAUUUUUUUUUAUUCUUUUGUUGACACUAUCUGAAACAAAUCAUGGGUGGCACAAAUGGCCAACUACAGUUCCUCCUUCUUCCCUUCCCUUCCCUUCCCUUCCCUUCCCUUCCCUUUCCUUUCCUUUCCUAGCAGCAGUUCCUAGCAGCCUGGUAUUAAGCUUUCUUACAGAAGAACGAUAGAUUUUCCCAUCAAAGCCUGUUUAAAUAUUUGCUGUCAGAGUGCAGGGUGCCAGACACUUAUAAAUAGUUUCUGGGAAUGUACAUUUUCUCUUUAAAUUUGAUCUGUGAUUAUAAGAAAGUGAACUUAAGGACUUUGCCAUUAGGCAUCUCAGGAGCUGCUGUGUGUCUCUGGUCAAACCUCAGUUUGCAAUUGCACAGAAGGAAACUGAAGUAACCAACUGGCCAAAAAGUGAAGCAUGACCAUGCAUUGCAGAAUAUCCAGGCAAGUAGGGUUUUAAAAACAACCGCAGUUUCUAUCACCACCAAUUAGAAUGAAUGCAAGGAGGCAGCUGAGCCUGGAAAGGAAACAUUGUCUGGAUUUGCAGCUUUGAUUGCGAUGCCGCCUCUUCUAUCCACCUGCUAAUUCAGAACUCUGUGGAGCAGAACCACAUGCAAAUGCCCUCUUAAGCAAGGUGCCUGGAAGUGUCAACCACCAAGGACAGACGGUGAAGACCUUGUUAUAAUGAUAUUUUCAAGUUCGAAAUUAGGCUCCUUAUGGAUGCAAAAGCAUGAAGGGAGGUAUCUUCAGAGCCUCGGCUUGUUCCAGCCUCAAAGAAAUCAAAAAGGGGGCCAGUGCUGUGGUGUAGCGGAUAAAGCUGCCACCUGCCAUGCUGGCAUGUCAUAUGGGCUCCGGUUCAAGACCUGACUGCUCUACUUCUGAUCCAGCUCUCUGCUAUGGCCUGGGAAAGCAGUGGAGGAUGGCCCAAGUCCUUGGGUCCCUGCACCCACGUGAGAGACCCAGAAGAAGCUCAUGGCUCCUGGAUUCCAACUGGUGCAGCUCCGGCCAUUGUGGCCAAUUGGGGAGUGAACCAGUGGAUGGAAGACCUCCCUUUCUCUCUCUUUCCUUCUCUCUCUGUGUGACUCUGCAUUUCAAAUAAAUAAAUUAAUUUUUAAAAAAAGGAAAGAAAAAUGCCAGGCUCUAAGAGCUCAAUACACAAUAAUCAGCAAAAUACAGCCUCUUCUCUUGUUGGAGAGACAAAACUGUAAACUAAUAAUUGCCCCUGGUUGAAAAGUACAAUACUGAGCAUAUACAGCAGGUGCAUCAUUGGGCCCCAGGGGCAGGGGAUGAACUCAAGCUAUGCAAUUAGAAUACACUUGACUGAGGCUUCCCAAGCAGAAUUAUUCCUGUUGUUCGUUUGUUUUUACGGUGCUCAAUUGAUAAAUGUGUGAUAGAGGAGAAUCACUCUUAAAAGCAAUCUCUCAAGUACCAAAGUGUAGCACCAUAUUCUGGAAAGUAGGACAGCCUGUAAUCACUCCUCCAGCCACAUCACUUGCUGCAACUGCAAAACAAGAGCUGCUUAUUGCAAAUGUCUAUUCUGUACCUUUGCUGAAGAAUCGAUGUGACCUGCUUGCAGAAAUUCUCUCCAUUUUGAGAACACUCCUUUAAGUUCUUGUAUACUUUAUUAUACUGAAAAACAACAACAACAAGAAAAAAGAAGCAAUGAGCAGGAAGAUUAUGAUAGGCAUCUCUACAUUCAGAAUGCUGCAGGAAUGACCACUGCCUACAUCAAUGACCACGCAGCUACAGGGAUGCAGCCUUUUUGCUUGAGUUCUCCAGUUAUGGAUGCAGUCUCUUCUUCCUGGAUAUAAAAGAUCCUCCAGGAAUUGUCAAAAAUAGAGCUGGUUUGUGUGCUUCUUCCAUAGGCCAAAUGCAAGUGGCUCAGCAGGGAGUGCAUUUGGGGUCUGGUUUCUUGGCACCCAGAUAGUUGCUUCAGAGAGGUUAACAGUACAUCCUGAAGGACACCACCUAACCACUUUGUGCCUUGACUCAGACACCCUAAGACAAUAUUUCUGGGGCUCCAGAUAAACCACGGGCCACUAAGGUGAGCUCUUCUUGGCUUAGUUACAAAAUUGUAAGUGAAUAACUUAUCAAUAAAAUUUUGCCCUGGUCCCCCCUGUGCCUCAUUUAAAUCCAAUAAUCAGAAUCUUAUAAUAAUAAAUUGAACCAAGUAUUGUAUGUAAGCAAACCUUUAUAAAUUCAUUCAUAUAUGAUUUAAAAAGUAAAAAGUUUGUCGUUUGAUUUCUACCUCCACCGUAUCAUUCUGAAGAUUAUAAUUGUAAAUUUAGACAUUGAUGACCACAGAUUUUCAAGUGCCCACGUGGACAGGGCUAAUGUCAGUUGAUUCUGCAGCUUUUUCCUGACACGGAGCAGGUGAACUAGAUGAUGGAGCAUCCCCCACACACAUUCUCAUCAUUUCCAAUUGGGAGGUGCAACACAGAUUGCAUUUUUCAAAAUGAUAUUUUACUAUGUAAAAGGACUCAAAUCCAUGGAGCGAAUGCCGCGUUGGCUCUUUGUGCAAAGAGUCAACCUCUACGAGUGCUUCAAUGUCUGUGGCAUUCCAUUGGAGACCAUGCUGAGAAAGGAAAAGGGAAGGGCACUCACACUUACUGAGUCCCCACUGUGUGCCAGGCACAUUCACAUACAGGAACACCCCCCCACCCACAGGAAGCCUGCUGUAGCACUGUGUGUAUGGUGCUAGCAUAGUAGUAAACAGAGAACCUGGGACCGCAGAGCAGGAUGAAUCUAAAGACGUGACUCGAGCCAGGUCCCUACAUUUGGGGUUGGAACAAUAAACUCCUCCAUCUUCAUACAGCGACUUAUCUGUCCUCCUGAUGUAAUAAAGAAAGCUGUGAUAUUUGGCAACCAAGCUUUUCUAAUUUAUAUUCCCCAUAAAAUUAACUUACCUUCUAGGACUGAUAUAAAGCUAUUAAGACCUCCUUCCUCUCCUUGCAGGUACACUGGGGGAAAUGUUUCACUUUUUUUUCCAACUUAAUAUUUUAUUUAUUAUUUUGAGAUGGCAUAUUUUUAGUUUACAUUACAGCCAAAGGUUUAAUGCUUCACUAAAUAAAGAGUUCAACAAAUAAGCAGCAAAGAGACCGUAGUUCAACAGAAAAAUAGGCAAGGGCUAUAAACAACAAUCAAACGCAAAGAUGUUCAACUUCACUCGUAUAAAGUAAACGUUAAAAUAAACAUGAAAUCAUUAAAACUGUAGUAGUAUAUAAUUUUUUAACCAUUUGGUACAGAUUUAAAACCAAGUUCAAGCAAAUGCUGUAUUUGCAGUAAAACU